rnacentral:rRNA from 1 species
GAUGAACGCUGGCGGCGUGCCUAAUACAUGCAAGUCGAGCGAAUGGAUUAAGAGCUUGCUCUUAUGAAGUUAGCGGCGGACGGGUGAGUAACACGUGGGUAACCUGCCCAUAAGACUGGGAUAACUCCGGGAAACCGGGGCUAAUACCGGAUAACAUUUUGAACCGCAUGGUUCGAAAUUGAAAGGCGGCUUCGGCUGUCACUUAUGGAUGGACCCGCGUCGCAUUAGCUAGUUGGGGAGGUAAUGGCUCACCAAGGCAACGACGCGCAGCCGACCUGAGAGGGUGAGCGGCCACACUGGGACUGAGACACGGCCCAGACUCCUACGGGAGGCAGCAGUAGGGAAUCUUCCGCAAUGGACGAAAGUCUGACGGAGCAACGCCGCGUGAGUGAUGAAGGCUUUCGGGUCGUAAAACUCUGUUGUUAGGGAAGAACAAGUGCUAGUUGAAUAAGCUGGCACCUUGACGGUACCUAACCAGAAAGCCACGGCUAACUACGCGCCAGCCGCCGCCGUAA